rnacentral:tRNA from 1 species
GCGGGCGUGGCGGAACUGGUAGACGCGCUGGAUUCAAAAUCCAGUUCUGGCGACAGAGUGUCGGUUCGACUCCGACCGCCCGCACCA